AUUGAACGCUGGCGGCAGGCCUAACACAUGCAAGUCGAGCGGUAGCACAGGGAGCUUGCUCCUGGGUGACGAGCGGCGGACGGGUGAGUAAUGUCUGGGAAACUGCCUGAUGGAGGGGGAUAACUACUGGAAACGGUAGCUAAUACCGCAUAACGUCGCAAGACCAAAGAGGGGGACCUUCGGGCCUCUUGCCAUCAGAUGUGCCCAGAUGGGAUUAGCUAGUAGGUGGGGUAACGGCUCACCUAGGCGACGAUCCCUAGCUGGUCUGAGAGGAUGACCAGCCACACUGGAACUGAGACACGGUCCAGACUCCACGGGAGGCAGCAGUGGGGAAUAUUGCACAAUGGGCGCAAGCCUGAUGCAGCCAUGCCGCGUGUAUGAAGAAGGCCUUCGGGUUGUAAAGUACUUUCAGCGGGGAGGAAGGCGAUAAGGUUAAUAACCUUGUCGAUUGACGUUACCCGCAGAAGAAGCACCGGCUAACUCCGUGCCAGCAGCCGCGGUAAAAC
rnacentral:rRNA from 1 species